rnacentral:lncRNA from 12 species
GAGACCCGAGGCCCUCCCCACCUGACUCCAGCCUGCAGACCCCACACACCACCCCAUGCUCUGGUUCCCAGGCCCGGGUGCUCGUCUUCGGCACCUUUGCCCUUUGUUUUCCUUGGCACUGGUCUUCACCGUGUGCCUGCACCCCUGCUUUGCCCACACUCUCCGCCUCCAUCCCUAACUCCAGAGUCUCUCCCUCCCUAGCUCUCUAGCUCUCCUCCCCCUCCUCACUGUCCUUAUCAUAUUUGACCUUUUGUUCAUCUUCCACGUUAGCGUAAAGCUUCUCAAGACGGAGCUUUCCUCGUCUGUGUACUUCCCCUUGAAGUGACAGUGGUGACAACUGAGAGAGGUGCUGGCAUCUGUCACACAGCCCUGUCUUCUCGGUGGGGAGUUGUGAGGGGAGACGGGCACGUCCACGCCGAGCUUCAGAAGAGUGAACCCCAAGCUCCUCAGCCUCAUGUUCCGUGGGCAUGAGUGCCGGGGACGCUGGGAGCCACGCUGGAUGCCCCAUUGCUGUGUCCUCUUCGUGACAAACAGACCACCGAGCCAUGGCGAGCCCUGAGGCAGCCUGUCAUGCUGCGGGCGGACGGCUUCGUAGAAAUCAGGGGCAGCGGAACCAGGCCUCACAGCCCGUGUCUGGAGCAGAGCCUGGGCUCCCUCGUAGCAAAGUGGGACGGCACGUUCCAAACGAAUCCUCAGCAAGGUCUCUCCAGCGCCUAGGCCACUAUCUCCCAGAGCUGCGUGCUGCCGAUGCCACCGUCCGCCUCUCAGGCUGCGGCAGGUGAUCUAACGAGGCCUCCUCGAGGAGUCCCUCUCCUUGCUGUGCAGCCUCAGACUGAGCCAAGGAAUCACAAGGAACCCCAUGCAGACUUCUUGGACCUCCUCCGUGCACAGCACCCCCUUCUCAGAAACCCUGCCAGACCAGCCCCAGCCACUCCGAAGACCUGAGCGUCAGCUUCUUCCUCCUGCACUCAGAGACCACCUCCAGGCUGAAAACCAGAACAGUCAUGCAGCAACACUGCGCUCUCUGCCUGAGUUUCUCUUCUCCUGUGGUGCUCAUUUUUAAAUGCCUGAAAAGAGUUGUAGCCUAUAUUUUGUGGUUGCCGUCAGUGGAGAGAAAGUGUGGUUGGUGUCACUUGCUGUGUGAGGGCUGGCAGUAGAGGUCCUGAAAAAUAUUUCAUAAGCAUAAUAAUGUAAAUACCAGUCCAAGUUGGAGAAAAAGCAUGAGGAAUUCUAAAGGGAUGUCUCCAAGAAAGAAAGAAAAAAAAAGACAUUAAUAGAAUGAACACACUGAUAGGAGUUUGAGAUUGAUUUAUUUUGAUUUACAUAGUCAUAAAAGUGUAAAUUCUGAAAACUGACAUAAAAAAUACAAUAGAGGGGGCAGCCCUGUGCUUCUCCCUCUGCCUGUGUCUCUGCCUCUCUCUCUCUCUCUCUGUGUCUCUCAUGAAUAAAUAAAUAAAAUCUUUAAAAAAAAUACA